CCUGAGGACAGGACACAACUUUGAG
rnacentral:piRNA from 1 species